rnacentral:rRNA from 1 species
UGGCGAACGGGUGAGUAACACGUGGGUAACCUGCCCAUCAGAAGGGGAUAACACUUGGAAACAGGUGCUAAUACCGUAUAACACUAUUUUCCGCAUGGAAGAAAGUUGAAAGGCGCUUUUGCGUCACUGAUGGAUGGACCCGCGGUGCAUUAGCUAGUUGGUGAGGUAACGGCUCACCAAGGCAACGAUGCAUAGCCGACCUGAGAGGGUGAUCGGCCACACUGGGACUGAGACACGGCCCAGACUCCUACGGGAGGCAGCAGUAGGGAAUCUUCGGCAAUGGACGAAAGUCUGACCGAGCAACGCCGCGUGAGUGAAGAAGGUUUUCGGAUCGUAAAACUCUGUUGUUAGAGAAGAACAAGGAUGAGAGUAAAACGUUCAUCCCUUGACGGUAUCUACCAGAAAC